CUGCGAUAAGCGCCGGUAAGGUGAUAUGAACCGUUAUAACCGGCGAUACCCGAAUGGGGAAACCCAGUGUGACUCGUCACACUAUCAUUAACUGAAUCCAUAGGUUAAUGAGGCGAACCGGGGGAACUGAAACAUCUAAGUACCCCGAGGAAAAGAAAUCAACCGAGAUUCCCCCAGUAGCGGCGAGCGAACGGGGAGGAGCCCAGAGCCUGAAUCAGCAUGUGUGUUAGUGGAAGCGUCUGGAAAGGCGCGCGAUACAGGGUGACAGCCCCGUACACAAAAGCGCAUGUGCUGUGAGCUCGAUGAGUAGGGCGGGACACGUGGUAUCCUGUCUGAAUAUGGGGGGACCAUCCUCCAAGGCUAAAUACUCCUGACUGACCGAUAGUGAACCAGUACCGUGAGGGAAAGGCGAAAAGAACCCCGGCGAGGGGAGUGAAAAAGAACCUGAAACCGUGUACGUACAAGCAGUGGGAGCACCCUUUGGGUGUGACUGCGUACCUUUUGUAUAAUGGGUCAGCGACUUAUAUUCUGUAGCAAGGUUAACCGAAUAGGGGAGCCGGAGGGAAACCGAGUCUUAAUUGGGCGUUAAGUUGCAGGGUAUAGACCCGAAACCCGGUGAUCUAGCCAUGGGCAGGUUGAAGGUUGGGUAACACUAACUGGAGGACCGAACCGACUAAUGUUGAAAAAUUAGCGGAUGACCUGUGGCUGGGGGUGAAAGGCCAAUCAAACCGGGAGAUAGCUGGUUCUCCCCGAAAGCUAUUUAGGUAGCGCCUCGUGAAUUCAUCUCCGGGGGUAGAGCACUGUUUCGGCUAGGGGGCCAUCCCGGCUUACCAACCCGAUGCAAACUGCGAAUACCGGAGAAUGUUAUCACGGGAGACACACGGCGGGUGCUAACGUCCGUCGUGAAGAGGGAAACAACCCAGACCGCCAGCUAAGGUCCCAAAGUCAUGGUUAAGUGGGAAACGAUGUGGGAAGGCCCAGACAGCCAGGAUGUUGGCUUAGAAGCAGCCAUCAUUUAAAGAAAGCGUAAUAGCUCACUGGUCGAGUCGGCCUGCGCGGAAGAUGUAACGGGGCUAAACCAUGCACCGAAGCUGCGGCAGCGACACUGUGUGUUGUUGGGUAGGGGAGCGUUCUGUAAGCCUGUGAAGGUGUGUCGUGAGGCAUGCUGGAGGUAUCAGAAGUGCGAAUGCUGACAUAAGUAACGAUAAAGCGGGUGAAAAGCCCGCUCGCCGGAAGACCAAGGGUUCCUGUCCAACGUUAAUCGGGGCAGGGUGAGUCGACCCCUAAGGCGAGGCCGAAAGGCGUAGUCGAUGGGAAACGGGUUAAUAUUCCCGUACUUGGUGUUACUGCGAAGGGGGGACGGAGAAGGCUAUGUUGGCCGGGCGACGGUUGUCCCGGUUUAAGCGUGUAGGUGUGUGUUCCAGGUAAAUCCGGUUCACUUUAACACUGAGGCGUGACGACGAGGCACUACGGUGCUGAAGCAACAAAUGCCCUGCUUCCAGGAAAAGCCUCUAAGCAUCAGGUAACAUCAAAUCGUACCCCAAACCGACACAGGUGGUCAGGUAGAGAAUACCAAGGCGCUUGAGAGAACUCGGGUGAAGGAACUAGGCAAAAUGGUGCCGUAACUUCGGGAGAAGGCACGCUGACACGUAGGUGAAGUGAUUUACUCAUGGAGCUGAAGUCAGUCGAAGAUACCAGCUGGCUGCAACUGUUUAUUAAAAACACAGCACUGUGCAAACACGAAAGUGGACGUAUACGGUGUGACGCCUGCCCGGUGCCGGAAGGUUAAUUGAUGGGGUCAGCGCAAGCGAAGCUCCUGAUCGAAGCCCCGGUAAACGGCGGCCGUAACUAUAACGGUCCUAAGGUAGCGAAAUUCCUUGUCGGGUAAGUUCCGACCUGCACGAAUGGCGUAAUGAUGGCCAGGCUGUCUCCACCCGAGACUCAGUGAAAUUGAACUCGCUGUGAAGAUGCAGUGUACCCGCGGCAAGACGGAAAGACCCCGUGAACCUUUACUAUAGCUUGACACUGAACAUUGAGCCUUGAUGUGUAGGAUAGGUGGGAGGCUUUGAAGUGUGGACGCCAGUCUGCAUGGAGCCGACCUUGAAAUACCACCCUUUAAUGUUUGAUGUUCUAACGUGGACCCGUUACCCGGGUUGCGGACAGUGUCUGGUGGGUAGUUUGACUGGGGCGGUCUCCUCCUAAAGAGUAACGGAGGAGCACGAAGGUUGGCUAAUCCUGGUCGGACAUCAGGAGGUUAGUGCAAUGGCAUAAGCCAGCUUGACUGCGAGCGUGACGGCGCGAGCAGGUGCGAAAGCAGGUCAUAGUGAUCCGGUGGUUCUGAAUGGAAGGGCCAUCGCUCAACGGAUAAAAGGUACUCCGGGGAUAACAGGCUGAUACCGCCCAAGAGUUCAUAUCGACGGCGGUGUUUGGCACCUCGAUGUCGGCUCAUCACAUCCUGGGGCUGAAGUAGGUCCCAAGGGUAUGGCUGUUCGCCAUUUAAAGUGGUACGCGAGCUGGGUUUAGAACGUCGUGAGACAGUUCGGUCCCUAUCUGCCGUGGGCGCUGGAGAACUGAGGGGGGCUGCUCCUAGUACGAGAGGACCGGAGUGGACGCAUCACUGGUGUUCGGGUUGUCAUGCCAAUGGCACUGCCCGGUAGCUAAAUGCGGAAGAGAUAAGUGCUGAAAGCAUCUAAGCACGAAACUUGCCCCGAGAUGAGUUCUCCCUGAGACUUAAAGU
rnacentral:rRNA from 1 species